rnacentral:lncRNA from 1 species
AUGGGCUUAGACUCUAUUUUCUUUAAAUUUUUAUUAUUUUUUGUUUUUUAUAUUGUUAGAGCUUGUAAAUGUUACUUGGAUCUAUAAUUUAUUAUUUUUUUGUUUUUUAUAUUAUUAGGUAAACCUUCAUGUAAAAUGUGCUAAGUUCUCAGCUCAUCUCAUAGCUGGAUAUAUAUGCAUUUAAUCUCACCUGCAUGUAACUGCAUAAUAUUCAUGCUCGUUGUGUAUGUAAUAAGGUUCAGUAUUGUAGAGGGAGAGAGAGAGUCUACAAUUGAGAGUUAGGCGUAGCCAUG